GAUGAAGAACGCAGCGAAAUGCGAUAAGUAAUGUGAAUUGCAGAAUUCAGUGAAUCAUCGAAUCUUUGAACGCACCUUGCGCCCUUUGGCUAUUCCGAAGGGCAUGCCUGUUCGAGCGUCAUUUGUACCCUCAAGCUUUGCUUGGUGUUGGGCGUCUUGUCUCUAGCUUUGCUGGAGACUCGCCUUAAAGUAAUUGGCAGCCGGCCUACUGGUUUCGGAGCGCAGCACAAGUCGCACUCUCUAUCAGCAAAGGUCUAGCAUCCAUUAAGCCUUUUUUUUCAACUUUUGACCUCGGAUCAGGUAGGGAUACCCGCUGAACUUAAGCAUAUCAAUAAGCGGAGGA
rnacentral:misc_RNA from 1 species